GAUGAACGCUGGCGGCGUGCCUAAUACAUGCAAGUCGAGCGAACGGACGAGAAGCUUGCUUCUCUGAUGUUAGCGGCGGACGGGUGAGUAACACGUGGAUAACCUACCUAUAAGACUGGGAUAACUUCGGGGAACCAGAGCUAAUACCGGAUAAUAUUUUGAACCGCAUGGUUCAAAAGUGAAAGACGGUCUUGCUGUCACUUAUAGAUGGAUCCGCGCUGCAUUAGCUAGUUGGUAAGGUAACGGCUUACCAAGGCAACGAUGCAUAGCCGACCUGAGAGGGUGAUCGGCCACACUGGAACUGAGACACGGUCCAGACUCCUACGGGAGGCAGCAGUAGGGAAUCUUCCGCAAUGGGCGAAAGCCUGACGGAGCAACGCCGCGUGAGUGAUGAAGGUCUUCGGAUCGUAAAACUCUGUUAUUAGGGAAGAACAUAUGUGUAAGUAACUGUGCACAUCUUGACGGUACCUAAUCAGAAAGCUACGGCUAACUACGUG
rnacentral:rRNA from 1 species